rnacentral:lncRNA from 1 species
AGAGACUGGAGGGACGGACCUGCAGGAGCCAGGGCUGCCCGCCGAGCUGCAGUUGCCGCUACUGCCGCUGUCAGCGCCCGACUGAAGAGUGACAGCCGCAAAAGCAGGAGUGAGCACCGAACCCCGCGCUUCUACCUAACAGGUGCAUGCGCCGAUCUGGUGAGUGGACCCAGCUCACAAGAUCUCAGGUAACCAUUCAUGAGCCUGAGGCUGUGAGAAAUGCUCGCUGUGCAAAGGGGAACUCUCACCAGAUUUUCUGAAACUGUUCUAGAAAUACACUUUUCGGAUUGAUUCAGCAUUACCAGCUUAUCCAACAAAAGUAUUAACAUAUACAUUAACAACGUCGAAAGUAGCCUACUUUAAGAGAAAAUAUGCAGAAGAAGAAGAUUUACAUCAAGAUUACCAUGGGUAUUUUCCAAAACACCUGAUAUUACCUGAGGACAGAACUUGCAUUCUCAAACUUUCUCUGGAGAAGCUCAGGUUUCUUGAAGACCCAGAAACCUACUUAAGAAGGUCUGUGUUAAUUAACAAUUUGCUGAGGAAGAUACAUCUAGAGACGGAGAAAGAGAGCUAUGAAUACUUUAAAGAAGCUCCCUGUUAUAAGACUGCAUAUUCUGAUACAAGAAAACGGCUGAAGUUUAUGGUACAGGAAUGCUGUUCUCAGUCUCUCUAUUAUGAAGAGCUGCAUUCGUAUCAUAUUGUGCCUUAUGCUUCGGAGAAUGCCAUUUAUGAAAUGGGCUACACUAGCAGCCACUUGGAGCAAAAUUCUCAGUUGCUUAUUUAUAAAAUGAAUUAAAGUAACUGUUAAGUCCAUUGAUACUUUGUUUCUAAAUGCUUGAACUGUUUAUAGUGAAGAUGUUAAUAUAAGGCACUCAUUACCAGUGCACUUGAUAUCAAAGAUGAGAUGCAUGCUGAACUGAUUGGAGAGAGCAAUGGUUAUUACUCAGCAGUCCUUAGAAUCAUCAAAUUGAAUAGAAAAUAUGUUCACAUAUGAUAAAGCGGUCAAUUAGUGCUUUAGAAGCAAAGAUUUUUUUUAAACAUAAGAUGUGUAGGAAGGGGCCUACGUUAAACAAUUACACAGAUGAAAAAUUUUCUUUUAUGCCUUGAUUUCCAAAUUCUGCCACUCUUACUGGAAAGUAAUGAAAGUAACAGAUUAAAUUGAUAAUGCCAUGUCCCUGAGGAUGAAGGGUGGAACACAUUUAAUUUUCUGUAAAUGAUAUGAGGAAGGGCUGGUUCUUUCUGAAGUGCUUUGACUUGUCAAGCAUUGUGCCAAAUAAUUGACACCAUUCUCCUUUUACCAUUAGUAGCAAUUCGAGAUGGGGCAAAGACACUGCAACUAAACUGCUGAAUGUAACAACCAGAUUACUCCAAACUGAUCCAUUGUACUAUUUUGCGGGGAGGGCUUAGACUUUUCUCUUUAAAAGUGAAUUUUAACGAAAUAGCCUUGCAGAUGGGCUUAUCUAUAAGUUCUACAGGUUGGUUAAAAUUUGUGGUGGGCCUUUAGUUAGCCGUUUACAUUUUAUUUGUUUUUUUUUAUAGGCUGUGAAGCUCAGGAAAAGGGUAGGCAGGUAAAAUUUGUUUUUAAUGAGUUGAUACUUUUUAGAAACCUUAUCUGCAAAAAUUAAUGAGAACAACAAAUUCCACAUGAUGUUAUUUCUUCAUCUAGCUAAGAGUACAUUUAAGGCUGCCUGGAUGAAACUUUGCACUGAUUUUUGUAUAAUAGUUGAUCAUUCACUAUUUGACAAAUUGUUUCAGAAUGCCUUUGGUGGUGAAGUUUAGAUAAGUCCCUAUGUUUUGCAAUUUUACAGAUAAUUAUUUAACAAGUUGGAUAGAUUCAUGAAAUUGUUUGAAGUGGUUCAUACUGUUCUUUCAGGUUUGAGUGAGAUGUCAGAUUUCAGUGUCUGAAGUUUUGUCCUAUGGAGCAUAUCAUUUAAAGAAUUGUCAUUAACUGAUAAAACAGAUUGGAAAAACUAGGUGCCAAAGGUGUAUUUAAGAAAAUACCAAAGACUCAAAGAUGAGUGUUAGGAAGACUA